CCUACGGGAGGCAGCAGUGGGGAAUUUUGGACAAUGGGGGCAACCCUGAUCCAGCCAUGCCGCGUGUAUGAAGAAGGCCUUCGGGUUGUAAAGUACUUUUGUUAGGGAAGAAAAGGGAAGUGCUAAUACCACUUUUUGCUGACGGUACCUAAAGAAUAAGCACCGGCUAACUACGUGCCAGCAGCCGCGGUAAUACGUAGGGUGCGAGCGUUAAUCGGAAUUACUGGGCGUAAAGCGAGCGCAGACGGUUAUUUAAGCAGGAUGUGAAAUCCCCGGGCUUAACCUGGGAACUGCGUUCUGAACUGGAUAGCUAGAGUGUGUCAGAGGGGGGUAGAAUUCCACGUGUAGCAGUGAAAUGCGUAGAGAUGUGGAGGAAUACCGAUGGCGAAGGCAGCCCCCUGGGAUAACACU
rnacentral:rRNA from 1 species